rnacentral:rRNA from 1 species
UACAGAGAGUGCAAGCGUUAAUCGGAAUUACUGGGCGUAAAGAGCACGUAGGCGGAGAUUUAAGUUGGAUGUGAAAGCCCUGGGCUUAACCUAGGAACUGCAUCCAAAACUGGAUUUCUAGAGUAUGGUAGAGGGAAGUGGAAUUUCUGGUGUAGCGGUGAAAUGCGUAGAUAUCAGAAAGAACACCAGUGGCGAAGGCGGCUUCCUGGACUAAUACUGACGCUGAGGUGCGAAAGCGUGGGGAGCAAACAGG